GCCGAGAUGGCGGAGUGGUUAACGCACACGACUGGAACUCGUGACCCUAUUGGGUGCCCAGGUUCGAAUCCUGGUCUCGGCG
rnacentral:tRNA from 1 species